UACAGAGGGUGCAAGCGUUGUUCGGAAUUAUUGGGCGUAAAGGGUGCGUAGGCGGUUUGGUAAGUCUUAUGUGAAAUCUACAGGCUCAACUUGUAGUCUGCAUGAGAAACUGCCGGGCUUGAGUAUGGGAGAGGUGAGUGGAAUUCCUGGUGUAGCGGUGAAAUGCGUAGAUAUCAGGAGGAACACCUGUGGCGAAAGCGGCUCACUGGACCAUAACUGACGCUGAUGCACGAAAGCUAGGGGAGCAAACAGG
rnacentral:rRNA from 1 species